CUUAAAACACCAUCCAAUCUUUCAGUCAUGAAGAUCUUUGCCUUCCUUGCAGCUGUUCUCUUCUUUGUACUGAUGGCUGCUCCAGGUAAGGUUACUUAUUUAUUUCAUAAAAAUUUAUAUGCCACUUGACUGUAGUAAAGCUCAAAGCAGUUCUAUAGUGGAUCCCUACACGGGGACCUCGGGAAAAUAUGCAACUGCUUGCUAUCAUGUUCUGUAGCAUGGUGGACAACCAAUGGGUCCUUGGAUGUUUUGAGGCUCCAAUUCCCUUGAAGCCCAGUCACCAUGACCACUGACCAUGUGUGAUUGGAGAUGUAGUUCUUGCUCUAUUGGAACCAGGCUGCUAAGCAAGAUUUGAUGUCUUACUGCAUUUUAAUUUGUUGAAAGCUGCCCAGUGUGGCUGGGGCAACCCAGUCAGAGGGGCGGCAAACAAACAAAUAUUAUUAUUAUUCCUCUUCCUUUUGCUUACCUAAUUUUCAGUGGUGGAUUAGAUGGGGGGGGCAAUAAACUUUGUUUGAAUGCUGCAAAGAUGGGACCUUAUUUGGGUGGGUGAUCCUAUGUCCAGGAGAAAGAAAGGUUAACUGUUCAGGAUGGUGCAGUCCCUGUGGAGGAAAAAUUGUGUAGUUUGGGAUGUUCCUGGAUGCAACUUUGUCAAUAGAGCCCCAAAUAAACCCUGUGCCCAGGUGUGUAUUUUACCAAUUUCAUCUGGUUUGUUAGCUAUGGUAUUCCUGGACACGGAAAGCCAAACCAUUAUAUUCCAUGCAUUGGUAACCUCAAAGCUGAGUUAAUGGAAUGUACUCUAUGUGAGGCUGCCCAAGAAGUCCCGGAAAUCAUUCUCUUGCUAUUUGGGUGGUUCUCAAUAGGGGAAGGUGCCCCUGUCCAGUGCUCCAGCCACAGCCCCUUCUAUUACCGCAUUUUUCGCUCUAUAAGACGCACCAGACCAUAGGCCGCACCUAGUUUUUGGAGGAGGGAAACAAGAAAAAAUAAUAUUCUGAAUCUCAGAAGCCAGAACAGCAAGAGGGACCACUGCGCAGCGAUCCCUCUUGCUGUUCUGGCUUCUGGGAUAGCUGUGCAGCCUGUAUUCGCUCCAUAAGACACACACACAUUUCCCCUUACUUUUUGGGAGGGAAAAAGUGAGUCUUAUAGAGCAAAAAAUACGGUAAUUUGGCUACAGUCCUAUUGCCACCCACCAGCUGAGUCUUCUAUUAGCAGGAAUGACAAUGAGAACACAACUUGUUCUUUCUUUUGCUACAGCACUUGCGCAGACAUCAGAGGCAGCAUGUCGCAGGAUGGGUGGCAGCUGCCAUAAUGGCUUUUGCCCACCAGGCAAACAUCACAAGGGACAUUGUGGUAACCCAAAAAGAUGGUGCUGCAGAAGAUAGGUAAGAAUUCUCCUGCCCUGCUGUCAGGAUUGUUUUGUCCAUUGGUUCUUUUUAUCUAAGCCAGUUUGGAGAGGUCCCGGUGCAAAUCAAAACCCAGGCUGGCUUUUAAGACCUAUUAAUGUAUCUGGCAGGAGAAUAAGAAUAGCAUAUUUGUAUACAGAACACAAUAAGUAGGAAUACUGCUGGCCAGAGUGAAAAAAUAGCUUGGCAUGUUCUUGUGUCUGUUACACGUGCCUGAUCUGUAGAAGUUGCUGGGGCCAAGAAAUGACUCACCCAGAACUUCUACAUGCUUCUUCAUAGGCUGUUAGGUUCCCACCUCAAUUCCAUCCAUGCUGGAAGAGCCUAUGAACUUGGCCCACUGUGUGCUGCUGAUGCUUUCUAAAAUGCUGAGCUGUACCACAGAGGCUGAGUCUGUCACCUGGGCAACUCUCUUCCUCUCCUGUUCUUCUGUUUAUGAUAUGCAGGAAAGCAUAAUGGUCCAAAUCAUUGUGAAAUAGUUAAUAUAGAAAUAGAGGUGCUUUCAAGGCUUUUCCAAGGGAUAGUUUCCCCUCCAAACCCCAAUUCUGCCCCAGUAUUUCUUCCAGGCCCUGCUAUGGCUUAGCAUUUGCAGUUGCUGAUGCUUUCCUUAGGAAAUACAUGCUAACAUCCAGCUUUUUUUGAAAGAAAUCCGGGCUACCUGAAGACUGGUCUUCUAGUUAUGAUCUGUAACAGAAGAGGAAGACAAAAUGGUCUAGAUCAUUGUGACAUAGUUAAUAUAGGAACUGGGGUGCUUUGGGGACUUUUCCAGGAGACAGUUCACAUCUCCAAACCCCAGUUUUGUUCUAGUUUUUCUACCAAGUUCUGCUGUGGCUCAGAAUUUGCAGUUGCUGAUACUUUCCUUAGGAAUCACAUGCUAGCAUCGAGGGUUUUUCUGCAAAAAAAACAACACAAAACCUAGGUUACGUGAAGAAUAGUGGAAAUAAAACAAUCAGAAUGAAUUGCUUUGGUGUUACUAAGCUUGACAAGAGCAGAGCCAUAGGGAAGCUUUAAAAAAUCAAUUGGCCUUCUAAUAUUGGCAUCAUGUAUUAUGUUAGGAGGAGAGUUGGGUUCAAAUCACUGGUGUAUUUCAAGUUACUCUGUAUUUUUCUCUAAUAAAUUUUAUUAAGAUUCACAGAGAAAAUUACAAAACUUAAUAUCCUUUUCCCUUUUUUUAACCACACCAAGACUAUCUAAAUACAGUAAAAACACAAAAAGGGGGAAGGAGAGACAAAGAAAGAAACAGAGGAGAAAAGAGGUUAAAAGAGAAAGGUAGAAAAAAAUAAGAUUCGGAAAAGAAGGAACUUCUGAUUUUUCAUCUGUCCACUAUUAAAAUAUAUGUAUUCACUACAUCCAAUCCAAUAUACCACCCAUCAAAGUUAAGUCAGUAUUUUUAAGGGACAAACAACAAAUUAUCAUGCUCAGAACCUAUUCAAGUCAGGAAAGGCCAAUCUGUUUCUCCAGAUGUUGCCAGCCUACAGAUCUCCCUCACCCCUGAUCCCUUGCCAUACUGGCUGUUGGGGCCAAUGGGAGGUGGGCUCCCACAACAUCUGGCGAGCCACAGCAUGAUUUAAAGGACAAGCCCCAUACCAAUGUAUUUCUCCUCUUUUUUCUUUAUAUUAAAAUCUGUGUUUGUGUUUUGCAUCUGAAUGUGUUCAGCUUUUUAUUCAUGAUUAUCUAUGUAAUACAGCAUUAAAAACUGCAGACUCUGACAAUGUUCUCUCUCUCGCACAGAUAACGUCAGGAUGUUGGCUGCGUUACAUCCAUAGCCUGAACAUUUCCAUGGCCUCUGCAACCCUCUUCGCUACGCUUUUGCGCUUUUAAUGGAGCUGAAUCUCUGGUG